CCUCACAUCUCCCUCAGCAGCCUUUUCCUGCAUUACUUCUAACAAAAGUUUCAUUUCUUGGUCAUGGAUGAUUUUGUAAGAACCAAACUGCUUGAAUGGGGGCUAAGUGAGUGGGUGGAGAAAUUUAAAGAUAAAGAAAUUGAUGCAGACAGUCUGUAUGAUCUUGAUGAUCAAGAAAUUGAUCAUGUGAUCACAAAAGCUGGACCAAGAGUGAAAUUCAAGAAGAAACUCAGGCUGUUAAAGUGUAAACAGGAGCAAGAAGCAGCUGAUUUGGC